rnacentral:rRNA from 1 species
UACGUAGGGUGCAAGCGUUGUCCGGAAUUAUUGGGCGUAAAGAGCUUGUAGGCGGUUUGUCGCGUCUGCUGUGAAAUUUCGGGGCUCAACCCCGAACUUGCAGUGGGUACGGGCAGACUAGAGUGUGGUAGGGGAGACUGGAAUUCCUGGUGUAGCGGUGAAAUGCGCAGAUAUCAGGAGGAACACCGAUGGCGAAGGCGGGUCUCUGGGCCGUAACUGACGCUGAGGAGCGAAAGCAUGGGGAGCGAACAGG